rnacentral:rRNA from 1 species
AACGAACGCUGGCGGCAUGCCUAACACAUGCAAGUCGAACGAGACCUUCGGGUCUAGUGGCGCACGGGUGCGUAACGCGUGGGAACCUGCCCUUAGGUUCGGAAUAACUCCCCGAAAGGGGUGCUAAUACCGGAUAAUGUCUUCGGACCAAAGAUUUAUCGCCUUUGGAUGGGCCCGCGUUGGAUUAGCUAGUUGGUAGGGUAAAAGCCUACCAAGGCGACGAUCCAUAGCUGGUCUGAGAGGAUGAUCAGCCACACUGGGACUGAGACACGGCCCAGACCCCUACGGGAGGCAGCAGGGGGGAAUAUUGGACAAUGGGCGAAAGCCUGAUUCAGCAAUGCCGGGGGAGUGAUGAAGGCCUUAGGGUUGUAAAGCUCUUUUACCCGGGAUGAUAAUGACAGUACCGGGAGAAUAAGCCCCGGCUAACCCCGU